ensembl:lncRNA MUC20-OT1 MUC20 overlapping transcript
CGUCUCUACUAAAAAUACAGCAAUUAGCUGGGUGUAAUAGUAGCCACCUGUAAUCCCAGCUACUGGGGAGGCUGAAGCAGAAGAACCUCUUGAACCCGGGAGGCAGAGGUUGCAGUGAGCUGAGAUCGUACCACUGCACUCCAGCCUGGGCGAUAGAGUGAGACUCUGUCUCAAAAAAUAAAAUAAAAUAAAUAAAAAGAUUAGAUAAUCUGCAAAGUUCCUGUGAGCGCUGUCAUUUUGUCACUCUGGUUUUUCAGAUUCUUCCCCUGGAGGCUGGAGUUUCCAGGAUGUCAAAAUUACCUCUGCUUGGGUGAGCUAUUUCAAGCAGCUGGGAUACCUGUGUCACUCCUGCUGUCUGCCAGUGACUGCCCAGGUGUCUGCUGGUUCCUCCCCAGGAGUAGGGAGGAACCAGGUGGGCUGGCUGGGAUGGGUGGAUAUUUAAAGACCAGGCCUUGGACGCUGCAGCACUUCUAUCUCUGCUUGAUGCCUGCUGCCACGUGGCUGGUCCUCCUCCUCCUGCUGUGGCUGAGCCUUGGGGUGAAGACAGGCAGCUGCUCCCAACCCCAGAACCUUUGCUGUCUUGGGACGGAUCACCGCUGCAAGAGGGGAAGUUGCUACUGUGAUGAAUUCUGCCAUGUGGCACCAGACUGCCACCCAGACCACAGUGUCCUCUGCAACCCUGGUAACUCACAUACAGGCCCGAUUCCACCUACAGCAAAGCUGGAUGCGAUGGCUGGCAGAGGCAAACCCUUUGCCUGCACUUCAGGCCAAAGCCGGGAUGUGGCCUAGAUGGUUCCUAAGGUCCCUGACAAUCCUGAGAUCUUGCAUCUUGUCUAUUUCAGGUCAAAGCUUCUCAGAUGACC